AUGCAGCUGACGAGUCCCAAAUAGGACGAAGCGGCUCGUGUUCUGGAU
rnacentral:hammerhead_ribozyme from 1 species